rnacentral:rRNA from 1 species
UACGGGGGAUGCAAGCGUUAUCCGGAUUUAUUGGGUUUAAAGGGUGCGUAGGCGGUCUGGUAAGUCAGCGGUGAAAUUUAGGGGCUCAACCUCUACCGUGCCGUUGAUACUGUCGGACUAGAAUGCGGAUGCCGUGGGAGGAAUGUGUGGUGUAGCGGUGAAAUGCAUAGAUAUCACACAGAACACCGAUUGCGAAGGCAUCUCACGAAUCCGCAAUUGACGCUGAGGCACGAAAGCGUGGGGAUCAAACAGG